AGGGAAACAACCCAGACCCACAGCUAAGGUCCCAAAUUUUGUGCUAAGUGGAAAACCAUGUGGAAAGGCACAGACAGCCAGGAGGUUGGCUUAGAAGCAGCCACCCUUUAAAGAAAGCGUAAUAGCUCACUGGUCGAGUCGGUCUGCGGGGAAGAUUUAACGGGGCUAAGCACAGAACCGAAGCUUGGGGUGCAUAACUUUGUUAUGCGCGGUAGAGGAGCGUUCCGUAAGCCGUUGAAGGUGGAUUGAGAAGUCUGCUGGAGGUAUCGGAAGUGCGAAUGCUGACAUGAGUAACGAUAAUGCGGGUGAAAAACCCGCACGCCGAAAGCCCAAGGUUUCCUUGCGCAACGUUAAUCGGCGCAGGGUGAGUCGGCCCCUAAGGCGAGGACGAAAGUCGUAGUCGAUGGGAAGCAGGUUAAUAUUCCUGCACCUCGCGUAAGUGCGAUGGAGGGACGGAGAAGGUUAGGUGUACCAGGCGUUGGUUGUCCUGGGGAAAGGCGGUAGGUUUGGAUCUUUGGCAAAUCCGGGAUCCUCUAAGACCGAGCACCGAGACGAGCCUUUAUGGCAAAGUCACUGAUACCACGCUUCCAGGAAAAGCUCCUAAGCUUCAGCUUACGCAGACCGUACCGUAAACCGACACAGGUGGGUAGGAUGAGAAUUCUCAGGCGCUUGAGAGAACUCGGGUGAAGGAACUAGGCAACAUGGCACCGUAACUUCGGGAGAAGGUGCACCCUUUUUGGUGGCUCGUGCGAGCUAUAGCUGAAGAGGGUCGCAGUAACCAGGCCGCUGCGACUGUUUAUCAAAAACACAGCACUCUGCAAACACGAAAGUGGACGUAUAGGGUGUGACGCCUGCCCGGUGCUGGAAGGUUAAUUGAUGGGGUCAGCCGCAAGGCGAAGCUCUUGAUCGA
rnacentral:rRNA from 1 species